AAAGAUAUUCAGCUAGGGCUGGGCGAUGUGGGGAACAUCAAAUAUCACAAUAUUGUUGACCAAAUACCUCAAUAUCGAUACGGCAACGAUUUUGUAGUGUUGACCAUUGGUGCUUUCACAAAAUAUUUACAUAACGAGAUUUUUGAUAAACAAUCAUCAGUAAUGUGGAUAAAAUGACCAAGAAAUGACAUCACUUUGCUGUAAUGCAGCCUUUGAAACCAGGAAAAGACAA